ACUCUGAUUGGCUGGAAGGUGUGUGUUCAAACUGUACAGUUCACAGGUAGUUCCAAUCGGAUCCACCGUUCUAAAUUAAUGCCUACAAACACCUGUAACCAUAGCAACAUACAGUUAGAGUUUCAUACAGUAGUUAAACGCAUAGCUUCAUUAUUAGUAGAGACCCGGUACAGACACAGACUGCAAACAGACGCUCUUUACCAGAAAGUAAUAGCUAAUACCUGAUAUUGAUGAUCAGUGGAGAUUAGUUAGCGCUCUGAUGGAGAAGAAUGCUGCAUCAGAGGUGCACUUCUAGACACUAAAGUCUAGCAAGAGUGAGAACAGCAUUGUUUUGGUAGGGGAAAGUCUAUGUGCAUUAAGCAAAGAUAGUAAACCAACAACUCUGGCAUUAGACCCCUUACAGUGCGCUGAACGGGUGAUGACUCUGUAGCUUAGUCACAAAGGCAAAGCUAAUGCUAAGGCUUGCCCAUGGGAGCAGCAGUCCUCCCCCUUUCAUGUGUCCAAAAGUUUGCUUUCUUCAGUGAGACACCUACUGAGUAAUUAUCUAGGCAUUUAGGGGGCUGCAGCAGCCUUAGGUAGGUGGACAGUAUACCAGGUGCCAGGGAGGGAGAUAUGUGCAGUUGUUUGUGCAACAUUAAACUGAGAGACACUCAUUUUGGAGGUCAUGUCUUACACUAGAAAACAUGAAACACACACACACAGACACAGACACACACACACACACACUUCAGAAGACAUGUUUACUUCAGUCCAACAUGGGUGUGUUAAAUCUAACGCCAUCAUCACACAGAUCACUUACAGAGAAUGUUUUACAGUCCAAUCGUCACUAAAUGGAGUUUCACUUUAACUCCAACUGCCUUGACUGGUUUAGUCAAAAUAAUUUUUAGAGCAGGAGACCAGCAGGAAGAGGCUACAUUAUGCUUGCCUAAAGAAUGCUGCAUGGCAACUUCAAGAAAAGUUCUGGGAACAACACCAACUAUCAUUAUAGCCCGUAUCAACCUCUCCAGAUCAAUCAACACUGUUACCAGGAAGUUCUUUUGGAAUGUUCUGUUUAAAUUUGAUAAAUCACAUGAUCACAGGAGGUCAUGUGACUCUCCUCUGUCAGUUCAUGAGUGAAACAGUGGUAUGUCCUGGUACUGUUGGUUAAUUGAUAAAUAAACAAGCAUAAAAUAUUUAUUUUUAUAUAUCUUAAACAAUAAAGAGUCCUAAUUAAAAGUGGACUAACACAAAAAUUAUCCAUAUUAGGAAAAAGGCUAAUAGCUUUCUAAGGAAAUAGCGAACUAAGCUUAAUGUCAAAUUGAUAUUAAAUGCAACCCAUAGGAAUAAAACAUUAUUUUAUAUCUCAUUUUAUUUAUAUUUUAUGAAGUUAUUAUAAUAUCUAUUUUUUAUAUUAAAUGAUUUAUUUAUAACAAAGCACAUUUUCUGUCUUUACAUUUUAGUAGUUUUAUUUUUGGCAAAGGUUUGGCAUCCUAGAUUAUUUAAGUUCAGACAAUGGUGCGCACUUUGUAAAUAAAACAAUCAAGGUGAUUGCAAAGACCUUGUGUAUGGACCACAGGUUGGGAUGCAUGUACUACCCCCAGUCGCAAGGAAUGGUAGAGCAGGCAAACAGGGUAAUAAAGAUUAAACUACCAAAAAUUUGUGAGAGUUCCCGUUAAAAAUGAGUACAGGUCUUGCCAUUGGCCCUGAUGAAGAUGUGUUCACAGACUAACCGCAUUACUCACUUGACCCCACAUGAGAUGCUAACAGGCCGUCCCAUGCCAAUGGCAUUUACCCAUGGCCCCUAUAAAGGUUUACUCCUGGAGCAGUUAGAAGACGAGAUGCAGGAAUACAUACGCAGUUUAAACUAGAUACACAGAGAAUUGUAUUCACAGGUAUGGAAAGCAAUCCACGGGGAUGAGAACUUGGUUCCAGAAAGAUUGGUGGAGCCAGGUGACAAAGUAUACAUACAUGUCUUCAAAAGAAAAGGUGUCUUUGACCACAGGAGGGAGGGGCCCUUCACAGUGGUCGCAGCUACCCCAACGGCUGUAAAAGUUGAGGGGAAAGACCACUGGUUUCACUUAAACCACUGUUGUCGAGGAGCAGGAAAAGGACCCCUCCUGUGUCUGAGAGAGGAAGAAGAAGCCUCCACUUCCAGGCAGGGAGAGCCAUAGACCUCUCCGGAACCUGUUGAGUCAGACAGCAAAAGUGAACCGGAUGAGCAGCUGAGCCCCGCAAAAGGAACACGUGCCCAAACCAAGCAUAGAGUGGCCAAACGAUCUCGAGAAGCAGUAACUAGUGACAUUGUACCAACCACACCUGCAGCCUCCCCAGACAAUGAAACACCUGCAGCCUCAGACAGUGCACAAGGUGAGAUAGGUGCCCCAGCAGAUUCCCUGUUGAAUGACAAUGAAACCUGUUCCAGAAUAACCCAAAUUAUACAGGACACAGUAGGCCCAACAGAGACCCUCUUUCUGACCAUAGACUUAGCCGUCCUGGUCAGCUUAGACAAUUUACCUAUAGUUAGUGACCUAGCUCUGCAGAGCUUGCCUCCGGACACACUUCUCCCUGUCCCAAUGGAACCCCUGAGUCGUCAACCCACUCCUAGCACAGGAACGGACCAUGAAGGGGCCACACCUUAACAAGUGCACAGCAUCAGAUACGGUGGUGGCAUCCACCUGGGUGGCCACUGGCAUUGCACGUAUAGUCACACUAGUUGUUGUUUUCUAUGCUUCAGACUCCCCUG